AAUCAACGCUGGCGGCGUGCCUAACACAUGCAAGUCGAGCGCGAAAGGGGAGCAAUCCCCAAGUAGAGCGGCGAACGGGUGAGUAACGCGUGGGUAAUCUGCCUCCGAGUGGGGAACAACAUCGGGAAACUGGUGCUAAUACCGCAUAACAUCGUCGGGUUUUCGGAUCUGACGAUCAAAGCCGGGGACCGCAAGGCCUGGCGCUUGGAGAGGAGCCCGCGUCCGAUUAGCUAGUGGUGGGGUAAUGGCCCACCAAGGCUUCGAUCGGUAGCCGGCCUGAGAGGGCGGACGGCCACACUGGGACUGAGACACGGCCCAGACUCCUACGGGAGGCAGCAGUGGGGAAUUUUUCGCAAUGGGCGAAAGCCUGACGAAGCAACGCCGCGUGGAGGAUGAAGGCCUC
rnacentral:rRNA from 1 species